CAGGUUGAAGUUGUCGUAAAAGACAAUGGAGGACCGAAGCCACAUCCGUUGAAAAGGGUGGGCAUGAGGUGUGGAUAGGGGAGAAAUUCCAAUCGAACCCGGAGAUAGCUGGUUCUCCUCGAAAUAGCUUUAGGGCUAGCCUCGAUUUAGUCUUAUGGAGGUAGAGCACUGAAUUUCCGCGGGGGCGUCAAAGCUUACCAAAGAAUAUCAAACUCCGAAUGCCAUGUAGAUGAUGAUCGGGAGUCAGACUGCACGAGAUAAGUUGGGCAGUCAAAAGGGAAAGAGCCCAGACCACCGGCUAAGGUCCCAAAGUGCGUGUUAAGUGGAAAAGGAUGUGGGAAUUCGAAGACAACUAGGAUGUUGGCUCAGAAGCAGCCAUACAUUCAAAGAGUGCGUAACAGCUCACUAGUCGAGAGUUCCUGCGCCGAAAAUGUCCGGGGCUGAAACACGACACCGAAGCCGUGGACUCGCAAUGCGAGUGGUAGAGGAGCAUUCUUAAAACCGACGAAGCUGUACCGGAAGGAGCAGUGGAGGGAUAAGAAGAGAGAAUGCCGGAAUGAGUAGCGAGAGAAAGGUGGGAAUCCUUUCGGCCGAAUAUCUAAGGUUUCCAGAGUAAAGCUGAUCUGCUCUGGGUAAGUCGGGGCCUAAGCACAGGUCGCAAGACGUAAGCGAUGGAUAACAGGUUUAGAUUCCUGUACCACGCAUUAUCAGAACUGUAGGGACGCAUGUGGAAAGCACGGGCCGGGAAUGGAAAAACCGGUACAAGCGGGGUAGGUGUACAACAGGCAAAUCCGUUGUAUAAUCCGAAGACGUGAUGUGGAGCGAAAUAAAGUAGCAAAGCGUGUGAGCCAUGUGCCGAGAAAAGCUGCUAUUGUGUAAUGCGUGCCCGUAC
rnacentral:rRNA from 1 species